GAACUUUCCAGAGAUGGAUUGGUGCCUUCGGGAACUGUGAGACAGGUGCUGCAUGGCUGUCGUCAGCUCGUGUUGUGAAAUGUUGGGUUAAGUCCCGCAACGAGCGCAACCCUUAUCCUUUGUUGCCAGCGAUUCGGUCGGGAACUCAAAGGAGACUGCCAGUGAUAAACUGGAGGAAGGUGGGGAUGACGUCAAGUCAUCAUGGCCCUUACGACCAGGGCUACACACGUGCUACAAUGGCGCAUACAAAGAGAAGCGACCUCGCGAGAGCAAGCGGACCUCAUAAAGUGCGUCGUAGUCCGGAUUGGAGUCUGCAACUCGACUCCAUGAAGUCGGAAUCGCUAGUAAUCGUGGAUCAGAAUGCCACGGUGAAUACGUUCCCGGGCCUUGUACACACCGCCCGUCACACCAUGGGAGUGGGUUGCAAAAGAAGUAGGUAGCUUAACCUUCGGGAGGGCGCUUACCACUUUGUGAUUCAUGACUGGGGUGAAGUCGUAACAAGGUAACCGUAGGGGAACCUGC
rnacentral:rRNA from 2 species